UGGGGAAUUUUGGACAAUGGGCGAAGCCUGAUCCAGCAAUGCCGCGUGUGUGAAGAAGGCCUUCGGUUGUAAAGCACUUUUGUCCGGAAAGAAAUCCUUGGCUCUAAUACAGUCGGGGGAUGACGGUACCGGAAGAAUAAGCACCGGCUAACUACGUGCCAGCAGCCGCGGUAAUACGUAGGGUGCAAGCGUUAAUCGGAAUUACUGGGCGUAAAGCGUGCGCAGGCGGUUUGCUAAGACCGAUGUGAAAUCCCCGGGCUCAACCUGGGAACUGCAUUGGUGACUGGCAGGCUAGAGUAUGGCAGAGGGGGGUAGAAUUCCACGUGUAGCAGUGAAAUGCGUAGAGAUGUGGAGGAAUACCGAUGGCGAAGGCAGCCCCCUGGGCCAAUACUGACGCUCAUGCACGAAAGCGUGGGGAGCAAACAGGAUUAGAUACCCUGGUAGUCCACGCCCUAAACGAUGUCAACUAGUUGUUGGGGAUUCAUUUCCUUAGUAACGUAGCUAACGCGUGAAGUUGACCGCCUGGGGAGUACGGUCGCAAGAUUAAAACUCAAAGGAAUUGACGGGGU
rnacentral:rRNA from 1 species